AUGCAGGUGGUCACAUGUGUGGCAUAUACCAUCUGUCUUUUGGGAUCAGUUGUUGAGCCAAAUUCAUACAUCAUUGGCUGCUGGCAUUACUAUAAUGACAGCGAGAUAACACGUGACACAUGUAUACAAUUAGAGAAGGGCUACUGUAUGCAGUAGAUCAGCUCACGGAGGUGACUCAGAUUGUCCUCUCUAUCACAAUAGCUGCAUACUGCUGCAAGGUGAUUCCUUGCUGCACUCCCAGAUCUCAUGUGCCUGUCAUCGUUAUGACGCCACCCACGACAGUGCAAUGAAAGUGGAAGUGUGUGCAUCUAAAAACAAUAAUACUAAUAAAACUCAAUUUUAGAACACAUUAUUAAAUACUAAUACAAUACUAAUACCAUAGUCAAACAUAUCACUAAUAUACAGUGGGGCAAAAAAGUAU